rnacentral:rRNA from 1 species
UACGUAGGGACCGAGCGUUGUCCGGAAUCAUUGGGCGUAAAGAGCGUGUAGGCGGCCAAUUAAGUCCUGCGUGAAAUCUCGGGGCUCAACCCCGAGCGGUCGUGGGAAACUGGUUGGCUAGAGUGCGGGAGAGGAGAGUGGAAUUCCUGGUGUAGCGGUGAAAUGCGCAGAUAUCAGGAAGAACACCCGUGGCGAAGGCGGCUCCCUGGACAAUUGCUGACACUCAGGCACGAAAGCGUGGGGAGCAAAAGGG